AAUGAACGUUGGCGGCGUGGAUUAGGCACGCAAGUCGUGCGGAAAGGCUCCUUCGGGAGUACUCGAGCGGCGAAAGGGAGAGUAACGCGUGGAUAUCUACCCCCUGGACUGGGAUAGCGGCGGGAAACUGCCGGUAAUACCAGAUAAUGUCUGCGGACCAAAGGUGUGAUUCCGCCGGGGGAUGGGUCCGCGUCCUAUUAGCUAGUUGGUGGGGUAAUGGCCCACCAAGGCAAAGAUGGGUACCGGGUGUGAGAGCAUGGCCCGGCUCACUGGGACUGAGACACUGCCCAGACACCUACGGGUGGCUGCAGUCGAGAAUCUUCGGCAAUGGGCGCAAGCCUGACCGAGCGACGCCGCGUGCGGGAUGAAGGCCUUCGGGUUGUAAACCGCUGUCAGAGGGGAGGAAAUGCAUGAGGGUUCUCUCUCAUGUUUGACCUAUCCUCAGAGGAAGUACGGGCUAAGUUCGUGCCAGCAGCCGCAGUAAAAC
rnacentral:rRNA from 1 species